rnacentral:lncRNA from 1 species
AUCCUUCCUCCUGGGCAACCCAGAGGAUGGCGUGAGGACUCCUGGAAGCCCAGAGGACCGGACCAGGGGCGUGGUGGGGAGCCGUAGACCCGAGUUUUUAUCCUUCUCUGGCGCCGACACUCGGCUGCGGAAUCGAGUUUGAGCUCGGUGUAGCUGAAGUUUAAAUUGUAGCUGUUUCAAAGAUGCCUUGGGAGUCUGAGGAACCCCAGAUUCAGCACCCCUGCUUAACCUGCUUUUAAGAAGAAAAAAAUGGAACUUGAUAAACUUCACUCAAAGGAGAGACCCACUAAUAACUCCACACACCUCACACCGAGUGAAGGUCUGGCUGUCCCUCUGUCUUCAUCUUUUCAGGCUGCUGUAAUAAAAUGCUAUAAGUGGGUGACUUAUAAA